rnacentral:hammerhead_ribozyme from 1 species
AUUCAGCUGACGAGUUCCAAAUAGGACGAAACGCGCAUCUCGGAU